AAUGUUCUAGAAAUAUAAAUAACGGAAGGAUGCCUUAGCUACCCAAUGGAAAUGAACUGGUUGGUGGAAACCUUUAUGUCUAUACAUGUAUACAUGAUAUAUAAAUAAUAUUUAAACGAACUUCGAACGGAUAACUGAUACCCACCAGACCACAUCCCAACGAGGAAAAGGAAAUAAGGCGAGCUAGCCGUUCUAAGUCCUUUAAACAUUAUUUAUAUAACUAUACAAAUAUAGACAUGCAUUUAACGAUAUAACAACAUAGCAGAAAACUCUGGUAAAACUUUUGUGAAAUCUUUGUUGAAUUAGGUGUUUAAGCCCAUAACUAUAAUUGGUAUGUACUUGAAUUGAUAGCAGCACAGUCCUUUUGGGUUGCCCUCAAACCUAGCAACCGGACAAGGAAAUUAUGAAAGGAGAGAUAUUAAUUUAUUAUAAGAUUAAUAAAUUAAUAUAAAUGAAUUUAUUAAUAUGUUAAAAGAUUAAUAUAUUAAUAAGAAAUCAUUUUGUUUAAUUAAUUGUUAGCCAGAAAUUAAUUAGAAUUAAUUUUGGGGUUAAAAGAAUUAAUUAUAAGGUGCAGGGACUAGUUUGCAAUUAUCUAAUAGUUGAGUGGAAGGCUCUAGAACCCCCUUGGAUAAGGGUGGACGAAAUCUUUAGGGGAAACCCUAAUAAUUUCGUCCAUAGGGGCUUGGAUAAGGCCCUUGGGUUUGCUUAGGCCCUAAGCAAAGGAUAACUAGGGUUUCCCCUAAACCCUAGAUCCCUCAGCUAUAUAAGGAGCCUCCUGGUUCAUGUUUUGGUCACUCUUUUCUUUUGAAGAAACCCUAAGGGCCGAAAUUUUGCAUACUCCCUCUCCCCUCUCUCCUCUACUUUCCUUCUUGCUAGUUUGGGUGUGAUUCCAUUAGAGGCAUUACACUUGUGGUGCUAAGCUUCCAAGAAGAUCAAGAUCAAGAUCAAGGGAAUUAUCAAUUGUUUACUAUAACAAUUGAAAGGUAUGUAAUUACUAAACCCUAGGUUGUAAAUUUCGAUUAUAGCCUCUCUCCUCUAGGGUUCUUGUUUUGCAAUUCAAAGUUGUAUGUUCAAUAGAUAAAACAUAGAUCCAAAGUAGGUUGCAUGUGAACUUAGGAAUUGUUUUCUAGUUUAUUUGUUUUACCUAAAACCCAUCAGUGGUAUCAGAGCCAUUGUUUGUUUUAAAUUGAAUUGUUAUAAUUGUUGAAUUGCAAAUUAGGGUUUAUAGCUAUUAAACCCUAAAGGCCAUUUUUUUCGAUUUUUAGGGUUGUGGAUCAAAGGGUUUUUGAAAACCCUAGCCUCCAAAGAACCCUAAUCGAAAUUAGGGUUAGGGUUUUGAAAACCCUAGCCUCCUCCCUUGAAAAUUUCGAAAUAUGCUAUAAAGAUUAGGGUUUCUUUGUUUUGGAUAAUAGUUGCCUUAUUGGAUAAUUGAGAAAAAUAAGGAAAUUAUCCUAUCCCCAUAUUUUUGAAAUCUAGAAGGGAUAUGGAUUAGGAUUAAGUUAAUUGUUUAAUUUAAUUAGAUAAUCCUUAAAAGAUUUAAUAAAUUAAUUAAAAGUUAAUUAAUAGAUAAAUAUUAAAUCUAAUUAAUUGGUUUACUUAAAUUUAAAAUUUAAUAGUUUAAAUUUCGAAAAAUUUAUAUAAACCCUUGGAGUUUUAAAAUGUUUUAAAACACACCUUAUAUAUAUAUUAUAAUUAAAAGUUAAAUAUUAUAUAUGUAUAAGAAUAUGGUCAGUCAAAUCGCUAGUAUGCCUCAUUCACGAAGCUAAUCUAUAAGGGGGGUAUAAGGAAACUGCCUAUAAAAUGGUAGUUGAAUGGGUGUCCACUCUCACCCACUGCUUCCUUGAUUAGUGGAGGGUCGUUAGCAGAACGGAUUUGAUAGGACAACUACUUCUCAUUAAAAGUAUAAUGUUAUUAAAGAAAGUACUAGAACAUUAUUUUUAAAAUCCCAACUCUAGCUACUUUAGGAAAAAUGUGAAAAGUAUGCUAAUCCAUGAAAUUGCACAUUAUGCUUUAUUGGUCGUUAGUGGAGGAUGUGUGGUUAACCGGCACACUAAAUGGCACUAAUAAAGAGUAGUAAUGGGUAUCUUAUAAUUAUCAUUUUGAUGGAGCGUGUGUGGUUUACCGACACAUCUAUAGUUAAUGAUAAAGACAAUAAGGUUACAAAGAACAUUUGCAUGGUUAUUCACAUCUAGUUUGUGAUCCUCGGUAUCCCAGUCACAAAUUAUAGAGCAUAAUCUGAGAUUAAAACAUGCCAUUAAAUAGUUUUAAUGUAUCUCAAAAGAAUUAGGAAUUUCAUUUCGUCUAAUGGUGGAAUUGGUGAAUCGUCAUUCACAAACCUUUAUGAGAUUUGAGCUUGGAUCUCGGCAUCCCAUUUUUAAGUUGUAAAUCGUCAUAGUUGGGUCCUAACCUUAAUGUGAUAUAUUUGGGUUAUUAUAUUGAGGUGUCUUGAAAUCUAACUAAAACUACCUUUCUUUUCAGAUGUCUACUCCUGGAAACACUUCUGCUUCUUCAUCCUCCAGCCACAACUUCUCUUUGCUCAACAUUUGCGCUAAAGUCGUUAUGGAUGCCUCGAACUAUAACGAUUGGAUGCGUAACAUCAAGAUGGCGUUCAGAUUCGAGGACAAAGAGUAUGUCCUUGAAAAGGAGCUCAAAGAACUUGAUGAGUCCAAAGCCACUCCCGAAGAGUAUGUUGCAUACAAGAAGCACUAUGAUGAUGCUACCAAAGUGGCAUGCAUCAUGGUCGCAACCAUGUCCCCAGAACUGCAAAGGUACUAUGAGGACUACUGGCCUUUUGAGAUGAACAAGGACCUUAUGGAAAAGUACCAUAAGCGAGCUCGUCAAGAAAAGUUUGAAGUAGUCAAGUCACUCAUGGCUUGCAAGAUGAAAGAGGGGGAAUCGGUUGUAUCUCAUGUGCAAAGAAUGCAACGCUACAUAGAGCGUUUGGUCAAGCUCAACAUUCAUUUUGAUGAGGAAUUGGCCAUUGACAUGGUCUUGAACUCGUUGCCUGAUUCUUAUGGUCAGUUUAUCUUAAAUUACCAUUUGAACAACACUAAGCAGACAUAGGCCCAAUUGCACAACUUGUUGCAGACUGCUGAAGCAGGGAUGAAGGGUAAAAGUAUAGCCCCCACCCCUGCAAGUGCUUCUGUUCUAGCUAUUGGACAGGGAAAGGGGAAAAAGAGGAAAGGUCCUCCCAAUAAAAACUGGAAGGAAAAGGUCCAAGUAGGGUCAUCUAGCAAUGGCCCGAAAGCCAAGCCCAAUGCUUCCAUUCCCCAUGUCUCUGAUCCAAAGGAAGCUGUUUGCUUUUAUUGCAAUCAAAAAGGGCAUUGGAAGAGAACCUGCCCACAAUAUCUGCAGGACAUCAAAGAUGGCAAAGUGAAGCCAUCUUCGGCAGGUAUUUACAUUAUUUCUUCUGAUAACUCAUUAUCUCCUCGUUCAUGGGUCCUUGAUACAGGAUAUGGUUUUCACAUCUGUUCUGAUUCUCAGGAGCUAAGGGAAAGUGUGGAGAUAGAGUGAGGUAGGAUAAACUUGAUCAUGGGAAAUAAGAAGUCUUCACCAGUAACCAAGAUCAGAGUUUAUCAACUUUUGCUUAAUAAUGAUGUUAGAUUAGAUUUGUUGAAUUGUUGCUAUUCGUCUUAGAUGACGAGAAACAUUAUUUCAUUUCAUGCAUUGUUCAGACAAGGUUUUAAAUAUUCUUUUAAUGAUUUGAAUGGUUCAAUUUCUGUUUAUAAGAAUGGUGUUUUCGUGUUUGAAGCUUUACCUUGUGAUGGUGUGUAUGAAACAGUGACUUGUGUUGAUAGCUUAGGAAAUAGUGUGUUUAAUAUUGACUUGUCUAAUAGUGUAGACAAGGCAUGCUUGUGGCAUUGUCGUCUUGGACACAUUAACAAGAAACGCAUAGUCCAACUCCAAAAGGAUGGAGUCUUGGAAUCAUUUGACCUAAAAUCAGAUGAUCUGUGUGAAUCUUGUCUUUUGGGAAAGAUGACAAAAUCACCAUUCACAGGGUCUUGUGAAAGAGGUGAAGGUCUGUUGGAUCUCAUACACACAGAUAUGUGUGGGCCCUUCAGAUCAACCACAAGAGAUGAUAAUCGAUUUUAUGUGACUUUCACUGAUGAUUAUAGUAGAUAUUGUUAUGUAUACUUAAUCAAACAUAAGUCAGAAACCUUUGAAAAGUUCAAAGAGUUUAAACAUGAGGUCGAAAAUCAAUUAGGCAGGAAAAUAAAGGUCCUUAUAUCCGAUAGAGGCAGAGAGUAUCUUAGUAUUGAGUUCAACGACUAUCUAAAGGAAUGUAGGAUAGUCUCACAAUUGACUCCUCCUAGGACACCACAGUUAAAUGGUGUAGCCGAGAGGCGUAAUCGAACCUUGUUAGACAUGGUUCGUUCUAUGAUGAGUCGUGCUCCACUUCCAAUUCAUUUCUGGGGCUAUGCCUUAGAAACAGCCGCCCACAUCCUAAAUCUUGUCCCAACAAAGAAGGUUGCCAAAACACCUCACGAAAUGUGGACAGGGAAAGUUCCCUCGUUAGCACAUAUUAAAGUUUGGGGUUGUGAAGCUUUCGUAAGAUGAGAGACUCACGACAAGCUAGCAGCAAGAAGUGAGAAAUGUGUUUUCAUUGGUUACCCAAAACAGUCUUUUGGAUAUUUGUUCUACAGACCUAGUGAGAACAUGGUGUUUGUAGCUCGAAGAGGAGUCUUUCUAGAAAAAGAGCUCAUAUCUAAAGAGGACAGUGGGAGUACCAUUGACCUUGAAGAGAUUCAAGAGUCAACCAAUGAAGGAACCUUAGAUGACACUAGCACUCAACCAGAGGAAACAGUUCCUGUUGAACCAGUUGAUAAAUCAUUACCUCUUCGUAAAUCCACUAGGGUGAGUGUGCCAUCAGAGUUGUCUGGUUUUCAUAUCACUUCAGACGGUGACACAUUCAUCAGUGAUAAGACAUUGGUGAAUUUAGAUGAACCAGUAUCUUACAAGGAAGCAGUGGCAGACCCAGAGGCUUCCAAGUGGAAAGAGGCAACGGAAAGCGAGAUAAAAUCCAUGUAUGACAACCAAGUUUGAAAUUUGGUUAAUAAUGCACCAGGUCGUAAGACAGUUGGUUGCAAAUGGAUCUUCAAGAAGAAGACAGACAUGGAUGGGAAUGUACACACAUUCAAGGCUAGACUGGUUGCGAAAGGUUUCACACAAACCCCAGGGGUUGACUAUGAUGAAACUUUCUCGCCAGUAGCCAAGAUUAAAUCUAUCAGGAUAUUGCUCGCCAUAGCUGCCUUUCAUGACUAUGAAAUCUGGCAGAUGGAUGUCAAGACUGCCUUCCUUAACGGGAAGUUGGCUGAGGAUGUUUACAUGAGUCAGCCAGAGGGUUUUGUCGAUGCAAAGUUUCCCAAUAGAGUGUGCAAGCUUGAGAAAUCCAUUUAUGGAUUGAAACAAGCAUCUCACAGCUGGAAUCUUUGCUUCCAUGAGAAAGUCAAAGAGUUUGGUUUCUCUAGAAGUGAAGAUGAGUUUUGUGUGUAUAUCAAGGCUAGUGGGAGUAUAGUAACUUUUCUGGUGUUAUAUGUCGAUGACAUAUUACUCAUUGGUAACGAUAUUCCAACCUUGAAUGAAGUUAAGUCUUGGCUUGGAAAGUGUUUUGCCAUGAAAGACCUUGGAGAAGCUGUCUAUAUUCUUGGGAUUAGGAUAUUGAGAGAUAGAAAGAACAGACUAAUUGGACUUAGUCGGAGCACAUACUUGGAUAAGGUACUAAAGAGGUUUAGUAUGGAAAAUUCCAAGAUGGGAGAGCUAGCUAUCCAGAGCAACACAAAAUUGAGUAAGACUCAAUGCCCUAGUACAGACGAGGAAAUAGCAGAUAUGAGUCGAGUACCUUAUGCUUCCGCUGUCGGAUCGAUCAUGUACGCUAUGACAUGUAAUCGCCCUGAUGUGGCCUUUGCUUUGAGCAUGGUCAGUCGCUAUCAGGGAAACCCGGGUAGAGCUCAUUAGACAGCAGUAAAGAAUAUACUCAAGUAUUUGCGAAGAACAAAGGACUGGGUCCUUGUACUUGGUGGCAAUGAUACUAUGAGAGUAGAUGGUUACAGUGAUGCCAGGUUUCAGACGGAUAGAGAUAACUUCCAUUCUCAGUCAGGAUGGGUAUUUUUACUGAAUGGAGGAGCAGUUACUUGGAAGAGUUCCAAGCAAGAUACAGUGGCUGAUUCUACUUGUGAAUCAGAGUACAUAGAAGCAAGUGAAGCGUCGAAAUAAGCAACCUGGUUAAGGAACUUCAUCGGGGAUCUCGGAGUUGUUCCACCCAUCCAGGACCCUAUGGAACUGUUCUGCGAUAAUGAGGGAGCGGUUGCCUUAACUAAGGAACCCAGAGACCAUGGUAAAACCAUACAUAUCGAUAGAAAGUACCAUUUCAUCAGGCAUAGAGUUGAAGAAGGUCAUCUUGUUGUAAAGAGGGUAUCAUCUGAAGAUAACCCAGCAGACCCCCUUACAAAGGGUCUGAGUAGGGUUAAGCAUAUUCAUCAUGCUCGGUGCAUAGGUCUGAAAGAUGAUAUUAGUUUUCGUAGUUAGAUUAGUUUUGUCUUGAAACUUGUAACAGAGUAAAUGUAAUUGACUUUUGGUGAUUGAAUAAUAAAGUAUUAUUUAUGGGUUUACUACCUUUUGUUAAUUGUUUAUUGUUCUGUUUCAUAUUUUGCAUGUUUUACUUCCCGGAUAAUAUGAUUGUUCAGACUCCACAGUCGCUCAUACUUUUGGAAGUAAGUAGUGAAUUAAGACUGUCAUGAAUUAGAUUGCAGAUUCUCUAAGGAUAGACAUGGCAAUACAAUAGCUACAAUGUUCAUGAGUACUCAGAGAGUGAGAUUUGAGUAUUGGAUAAACCCACGCUUAGAGUAUUACUUCAUGGAAUUCAUCACGAGUAAUACUGAGACAAUAAUCUAUAAUCUUGGAUCAUAGAUAUAUGAGUUGUAAUUUGCAAGAUGGCUAUACAUUGGUAAUACGAAAACGCAUCAGUAACUUGCUGUUAUAAAACGCAUUGUCAUGUGUGGUUUGAUGAGUAAAAGAUACAAGCAUAUCAGUCAAUGUUUAUUCGUUCCUUUUUCCCUAAUGGGAAAAUCGAUAUCUGUGGGCCCCUCGAUGAUUUGGUGUUGACUUUUGUGCUGGGCCCAACUAGGACUGAAUUGAUGUGUUCAUUUAGAAGUCCUAUAUCAUCACAAAUCAAGAAUUGGGAAACAUAGAUUCUGGACAAAAGAGAUUGAUUACAUUCCAUGUCUUCUGUCUGGGGAUAUCUAGCAGAACGAAGGAUUAUAUGAUCACUUAUCUUAGGACACGUAACUGACUGGGUCAGAGUUCGGCAGCAGCUUUUUGGAAGCUACAAUUUGCUGGUUAAAUUUAGAAGGCAUACUAACAAUUAUAGUUACAAACUUAUCCAAGUGGGAGACUGUUGGAUUAGGUGUCUAAGCCCAUAACUAUAAUUGGUAUGUACUUGAAUUGAUAGCAGCACAGUCCUUUUGGGUUGCCCUCAAACCUAGCAACCGGACAAGGAAAUUAUGAAAGGAGAGAUAUUAAUUU
rnacentral:lncRNA from 1 species